rnacentral:lncRNA from 1 species
GGCUGGUGGAGCCCCCUGGCCGGCUUCCAGGCAGACUGUGUUCUGAGCUGGGCUUCUCGUGGCCCGGAUGCCAGCAUUUGGCUGUCGCUUCUCUGAAGCUGUUUAAUUUCUCCGGAGAAGAGCCUUGCACCCCUGCCUGGCUUUGGGAGCGAGAAUAGAGUAGGAGAAGCCGGACCCUCUGCUGAGGCCUGCAGUUCAGUCGUUCUCGGCUUCUGCCCGUUCCCUGGACGCCUGGACCCAGGGUGAAGGUGGGCCCUGCUGGGGAGCUGGAGGACAGCGGGGCACCCACAGGUUCCCUCUUUGUAUCCCCCGCUGUUCCCCAGGCCUGUGGGCUCACGGUGUCCUCUGUCCACACCCCUCUGAGCCCGGAAACUUCCUGACCUCUCUUGUUUCCCUGCUUUGUCUUUCCCUCUCCCCAUCCUUGUGGUUUUAUAUCACUUAUCAUGUUCAUUGUUUCUUUUUUUUAAUCUAUUUUUCUUCCUUUCCUCCCAUUUUAGUUUUGGGGGAAAGCCAUAAUAACCAUAGGUAGACAGUCACCAUCAUAUCUCUUUUUAAGGAAAUGUUCCUCAAAAUUGGUUCAAAUCAUAAAAAUAAUUCGUGUACAUUUAGACAUCACAGAAGUAGAAAGAACCAAAAAUAUAGUAAUCUAUUGGAGGCUGAUCAGACCCUCAAUCACUUACUCAAGUGUAUGAUGGUGAGAUUAAAAAAGAGAAGAUCUUACUGCAUAAAGGAGGGGCCCAGGGCGGUCAUGGCUCUCAUCAGGCUAAGACACUGUCUCCGGGGCUCGCCAGUAUUUACUGAACACGCAGCUCCUAGAAGGGGUAAGGGCAGAGCAGCGAACAGUGGAGUGGAGGGGGCUGAUUUGAGCAGGGUCCUAGCAACAAGGGAACGAGACAUUCUAGCAAGAGCAGCUCAUAGAUAAAUGGGAGAUUUGUUUCUUCGAGCGGAUUAAUUUUGCCUCUCUAGGAGUUUUCUGUACGAGUUGUGCUGCCCUUAGCGGCACUACUGUCUUGCUAUGCAAGACGUCACAGCAUCACGGAUCAUUGAGACUUCCGCUCUGACCAGUGGUGUGGGGAGUUGUUCCGUUCCCGCACACCAGCUGCCGGCUUUUCAGGCAAGCAUGGUGGGCUAAGAGGCAGACUCAGACUUUUACUAUGAAAGCCAAUUUAUAUGAAUGUGCAGCUCCCUCAGGGUGGUUUCCAUCAGUCAUCCCACUCAUAAGGCACAUUUCCUUCUUACUGUUCUUCAAAGAAUUGUACACAUUUGACAUCAGUCUGUAAAGAUAAUUUUUAUGUUUUGCUCUUUCACUUAUAGUAUUGCAAUGAAAGUUUCCUAUGUUAUGAAACUUCUGGAGAUGUUUUGACAAUAAUUGAUCCUGUGUUGCACAAAAGUUUACUUAGUUAUCUCCUGCGGUUUAGCCUCUAGGCUGUUUUCUAUUAGUUCAUGCUCACGACCUUUGCACAGAAAGCUUGUUUUAUUUUAAAAUUUUUAAAUUUGAGAAGUUUUGUCAUAGAGCAAUAUAGUGGAAGAAAUGCCAGCUUCCAGAUAGACAUUCUUGUCGUAAUCCCCAGAACCCAGGAAGGUGACCUUAUUUGGGAAAAGGGUUGUUGCAGGUGUCACAAAAUGAAGAAUCUUGAAAGGCGAUUUUCCUGGAUUGACUGAGCGGCCUACAGCACGAUGACCAUGUUCUUGGGAGAGAGGAGGGGUCACAGGCUGAGGAAGUGGCUGCCUCCACAGCUGGAAGAGCCCAGGAACAGAAUUUUCUGUCAGCACUGUGGUUGUGGAUUUCUGGCCUCCAGUUCUGCUGUUUGAUGCCAUCGAGUUUGUGGUACUUUGUUACGGUUGCCCCAGAAAACAGACGGCAGCGGGGCUCCCGUGAGAGGGAGCUCGAGUGGCAGUGCCCUUGCCUGCAGUCGGGUUAACAGGCUUCGCGGAGAGCCGGACCCUGCUGCACCGAUAAACCUGCCUCUGGGCCCGGGGCAGGCGCAGGGGGUGAAGCCACGUCCCGGCAAAGAGCCCUGACGGUGACCGACCGCUGUCCACACCGGGCUGCGCCCCAGGCCGCCUCUGCGCCACCUCCCAAGCCGCCUGGGUUUGCGUCCGCCGUUUAAUGAGGCCUCCUUCCGAGACUCCAGAAAAGUGUUUUCGGGCGCGAGGCACAGAGUUGGUCAAGGCAGACAGUGCUGGCAGCAGGCCUUGGGCUGGGCAAGCGGAGAAGUAAGGACUCACUGGACUGAUUCAUUGACUCCACUGAGCGGCCCGAUUGGACUUGUGUGUUCUGAAGCAUAACGAGAAGCAUCACUGCUUCACAUUUUUCCCAAAGGGAGGACUUUUAAAAAUUUGAUAGGUUAAAUUAAAAGAAUUUUUUUUUGAGUCAAGGUCUCCCUGUGUAGUUCAGACUGGUCUAGAACUCACAGAGAUCUUCCUGCCUCAGCCUCCCAAAGUGCUGGAAUUACAGGCACCACACCCAGGUAAAUAUAAAAUCUUUUAUGGAUGUAGAUGACGUCAGUUAUAUUAAAUAUACCCUACAUCAACUAUUUUAAGCAUACAUUUGAAAUUUUACCAGUGGUAGCAUUGAGAAACAGAAUAUGGGUAAUUUAUCCAGAGAUACACAGUUGAAAAGUGAAAGAAAUAGAAUAUAAGCCCUGGCAUUGACUUUAGGGCCCACUGUCCUAACCACUGUGUUAUUAGUAUAGUUACACAUACUAUAUUGUAAGAUAAU